UCCCCCCUCUCCACCCCUUUCCCGUUGUUGCCCCAAAGCUCCGCUGCCCCAGCUCGCUCUGGGGUGACCCAGCCCUUUCCCAUCGUGGCCCGGCCCGGCCCCGCUGCCCCGAGAGCUCCCGGGCCGCGGCCGCAGGCACGGAGGAAGGGCAGGAGGAGGAGGAGGCGGGACAGAGGAGGAGGAAGAGGAGGCACGGGGGGAAGAAGGAGGAGCCGGAGCAGGCGGAGGAGGCUCCACGUGCGGGCAGCGCUCUCUGGAUCCGCAGCCGCUCGGGCCGGGAGCAUCGCCCGCCCCGCAUCCCGCAGUGUGGUUCCAGUUGAACCCAGUUGCCCCCAGUUCAGACCCAGUCCCUCCCCACAUGAGGUCGAGCG